AAAUUUUUUUAUUGAAUUUGCCGAUAAAGUAGUAGAUUUGUCCCUCCAAAUCCAAACCCACCAAUCAUACAUCACAUUUAAUUAAAUAUUUUCCCAAUUAAUUUAAUAAAUAUAGGAUUGCGUGACCUCCAUAUACAAUUCCUGCUUUUCACACCUCUCCGUUUCUCUCUCUUGAAAUUGCGUGAGGUUUCCGUGAAUGUGACCCCUGCGUUAACUUUCAUAUUUGGAGCGAAAUCUGCUUCCACUUUUGCAGAAUUUGAUGGGAUUGUUGCUUGUUGAAGAGUAUCGGCUACUUUUUCAUGACAUGUUUAACUUAAAGGAAAAACGCCACUGAGGAAGGCGGGUUUAACUUGGGAAAAAUGGGCCAGGCGAGUUUAACUUGGGAAAAAUGCGCCAGAUUGAAACACGCCAGUGGUGAAGGCGUUUUUAUCCAAAAAACGCCAACAAACUUGGCGUGUUUUAACAUACUGCAUUUCGAUACAAUACGACGACAUACGGUUCUAAAUUGUAAAACGCCAAUGUGGGUGGCGUCUUCACUUAUAAACACGCCAUUGUGGGUGGCGUUUUUCCCAUAUAUGGAAGAGAUAUCAAAAUGGGUAUAUUUACGUUAUUUUAAACGUAAACUACCCUAUAAACCCGAUUUUCUCCUCUCUCUCCCUCUUCUUCUCUUUUCUUCUCUCUCGCCCAAAUUGCAGUCAAAUUCCCCAUCGUCGUCGCCUCUCCGAUUCACCCUUCGCCGGCCGCCGCUGCUGUCAGAAUCGCGUCGUCGCUGCUCCGUCGUCGCCGCUGCUGUCGUCGUUCGAUCCAGCCGGUGAGUGCCACUGCCGGUGGUCGUGCAGCCGUCGCCGGGAGGAGCUGCUGCUGCCGUCGGGAGGAGGCUGCUGCACUAGACCCAGCCGCUGCGUCGUUGCUGCUGCUGUACCGGGAUCGAUAUCGCGAUGCCGCUGCCCCGCGUACACCGCCGUCGCUGCCGGGAGGUGCUGCAUCCGGUCAGCCCCCGAUUCCGCCCCGAAGUUCACGGAGGAGGAAUAUCUACUCACGAAGGAGGAAAAUCUGCGUAGAAUAUUUAAUUGAAGAUAUUUUAUUUUAAUUAGUUUAGUUUAAUUCACAGCCCAUUGUAUUUUAUAUUAAAUUGUGCAGUCCGCAACUUAUUUGUCACGGACUGGAUUUUUAUAACAUUUAUUUAAUUUAUCGGAUCCAA